GUGGGGAAUAUUGGGCAAUGGGCGCAAGCCUGACCCAGCAACGCCGCGUGAGGGAAGAAGGCUUUCGGGUUGUAAACCUCUGUCCUUGGUGACGAAACAAAUGACGGUAGCCAAGGAGGAAGCCCCGGCUAACUACGUGCCAGCAGCCGCGGUAAUACGUAGGGGGCGAGCGUUGUCCGGAAUUACUGGGCGUAAAGGGUGCGUAGGUGGCCUUUUAAGUUGGAUGUGAAAUACCCGGGCUUAACUUGGGGGGUGCAUCUAAUACUGGAGGGCUAGAGUGCAGGAGAGGAAAGCGGAAUUCCUAGUGUAGCGGUGAAAUGCGUAGAUAUUAGGAGGAACACCAGUGGCGAAGGCGGCUUUCUGGACUGUAACUGACACUGAGGCACGAAAGCGUGGGGAGCAAACAGGAUUAGAAACCCGUGUAGUCC
rnacentral:rRNA from 1 species